UGGCUCAGAUUGAACGCUGGCGGCAGGCCUAACACAUGCAAGUCGAGCGGUAACAGAAAGUAGCUUGCUACUUUGCUGACGAGCGGCGGACGGGUGAGUAAUGCUUGGGAACAUGCCUUGAGGUGGGGGACAACAGUUGGAAACGACUGCUAAUACCGCAUAAUGUCUACGGACCAAAGGGGGCUUCGGCUCUCGCCUUUAGAUUGGCCCAAGUGGGAUUAGCUAGUUGGUGAGGUAAUGGCUCACCAAGGCAACGAUCCCUAGCUGGUUUGAGAGGAUGAUCAGCCACACUGGAACUGAGACACGGUCCAGACUCCUACGGGAGGCAGCAGUGGGGAAUAUUGCACAAUGGGCGAAAGCCUGAUGCAGCCAUGCCGCGUGUGUGAAGAAGGCCUUCGGGUUGUAAAGCACUUUCAGUCAGGAGGAAAGGGUGUGAGUUAAUACCUCACAUCUGUGACGUUACUGACAGAAGAAGCACCGGCUAA
rnacentral:rRNA from 1 species